rnacentral:antisense_RNA from 1 species
GGUCCUAGAAUUUGGCGAUGCCCCCUACAAUUUAGGCGGCUCUGGAGCACAGGUUGUUAAAAUAUAGCUUUGAAAUCUAAAAAAUCUAAACAAGAAAAGCUUGGUGCAAGAUUUAAAAUGGUGGCCACGAUUGGACUCGAACCAACGACCACUACCA